GAAGCUCUGGGAGAUUCAGCUUCCCCUUGCGACUGUGUGCAGACAUAAUAGCGUCCACAGUGAAAGACGAGCACCACAAGACAGAAGUGAAAAAUCAGCACCUUCCUGUUCACCUUGUGAAGCCAUCGCUCAACCAAAUAGAAAGAGCAUGUAGAGAGAAACUUCUAUCACCUACGUCAACUAACAGCACGACAGCCACAAAGAAAAUGAGUCGUCAUCAAGACCAGCAGCUGACAUCACUGUGGAGAAGGAAGGACACAGACGUUGUUGUUGCUGAGCUCCCUCCAUGUAAGAGGGAACAUUUCUGUGAUCCGCCAUAGCGAGCUGCGCUCACUGCGACCUCACCAGUGGCUAACAGGCCCAAACAAAGACACAGUUAUUGAGCCUCUUUCAGCUUUCUGCCAACCAGUCCAGCGUUGGAAAGAACAUUUCCAUCCUUCAUCAUUACACAGCAGGUGGAAAACUUUGUGGGAAACGCGCUGAGCUCAGUGGACACGGCCUCUCCAAGAUCAGCUGUGACGACUACCAGGCCAUUCUGUCCUUUGUAAACACUGACAGAGCCACUGGAAGCUGCUGCUCACUGAUACUUUCUGCAAACAUCACUUUAUAUUAACUCUGUUUAUACGAUUUAUAAAGUUGUUCUGAGUCUUAUUAUGUGCUUUAUAAAAGCUUUUUUCUAGUAUAUAUUUCCUGCCAUAAGAUGAGUGUUUUUGGUGGAUCCAGCAUCUGAUUCAUCUGAGGAGGCAGCAAAAAGAGUCGACACAUUAGAUAUCACGUCUCAGUAAAAAUGAUGAUUGA